GCCUCAUUAGUCUAGGGGUUACGACGUUGGAUUUUGACUAACCCAGUCCUUCCAAAAGCAUCAGUUCGAAUCUGAUAUGAGGCU
rnacentral:tRNA from 1 species